rnacentral:rRNA from 1 species
AUGUGUUUUGGAAAAAUAAAGAGGGGAUCAGGUCCCAUGGUCCAAUCCAGGAUGGGUGCAUGCAGAUGCAACUUGUGUCCCUGUUUGAUUUCUUCACUUUUGCUAUUUGUAAGUCGCCUGAAAUUUACAUUUGGGCCUGUCACUUUGUUUCUUCUACUAGUACUUAUAAUCUGUUUUUCCUUUUCUUUAUGUGUCAGAUUUUGUGUGCGUGCAUGUGUGCGCCGCAUGCAUGUGCUGGUGUUGUGCGUUGACUUUGAGUAUGUUGUGCAUGUGUUGCGGCCAUGUGUGUCUCUUUAUGUGCAUGCACAUGCGUGUGCUUGUGUUUGA